rnacentral:rRNA from 1 species
UACGAAAGGUGCAAGCGUUGUUCGGAUUUACUGGGCGUAAAGAGAGUGUAGGUUGUUUAUUAAGUCGGAUGUGAAAUCCCGGGGCUCAACCCCGGAACUGCAUUCGAUACUGAUAGGCUAGAGUUCGGGAGGGGUAAGCGGAAUUCCGUGUGUAGCAGUGAAAUGCGUAGAUAUACGGAGGAACACCUGAGGCGAAGGCGGCUUACUGGACCGAUACUGACACUGAGACUCGAAAGCGUGGGUAGCAAACAGG